GAAAACUUAGAGAUUUGGGAACUAGAGAAAAGAGGAGAAUGAAAGGAAAUUUGCAAGAAGAAGAUUUGAGGAAAUUAAAGAGGAGAAGAUUAAAGCAUUUCUUCUACCCUUUCUAAAGAAGGUAAUAAUCUAAUUAUUACCCUAAAUUUAUAUACAUACAUGUAUUUAUGGCAAAGAAGAGAAUGAUGCAUGCUUUUAAAUUUCUGCCGGGUAUCACAAAUUUAUAUAAUGUGAUAUAAUGUUAUAAAAUUUAAAAUUAUGUUGAAUUCAUAUGUAUAUAUCCUGAUUUAUGCAUAUGCGUGGCUGUGGGAAUUAGUCCCCCAAAUUUUAAUUAGGGUUUAUAUAUACAAUUUGGGGUUUUGCCUUUGUGCUUGAGAAUUGUUGAAUUGGUGAGGUUUAUGGUGUUGGAUACGGGUUGGAUUUGUGGAAGGAGAAGGGGGCGGCCGGAGCUCAUGUCGGCAACACCGACGGAGCUCACGGUGGCGGCAGAGAAGAGGGAAACCGGGGGAGAGGGACAGAGAUAGCAGGUGAGAGAGAGGAGGAAGGGGGUUUGAUUGUGCGGGUUUAUGGCGGCAUGGAGGUCGGGAAUGGUGAAGGUCGAACAGGAAAGAGAAGCGCGAGAGAGAAGGGUGGAGAGAGAGAGAGGGGGAGAGGAGGAGAGGGAGCCGCCGGAGUCGAACUCCGGCCGGCUAUGGUGGUGUAUGGCAGGGGAGAGAAGAAAGAUGAGGGAGAUGAAGGAGGGGCAUAUUGGUAAUUUGGUUAUAAAUGGUUCUGAUUAUUAGUCUGCUGGGUAAGAAGUUGUUGACGGAUUGUAAAAUAAAUUAUAUAUUUGGAUUCCUUACGAAAAAAUAGAUGGAAUGGGCUUUAGAAUCAUCGAAAACGGAUUAGAAAUGAAGGAGAUAUUAGCGGUCAAAGUUUCACCAUUAGAGUUGACUUCGAGGUGAAAGAAAGUGUUGGUGGGUGUGUUGGAGAGGAUGAUGAUGUGUCAGUUUUUGAUUGGCUAGAAUAUUGAAUAAUAGUAUUUAAUUAAUUUGAGGGAUUAAAUGAUGAAAUUAGUAAAAGUGUAAAGUAUGAAAGUUUAAGUAAAUAAUUUUUCGGAUUUAACGGUGAAGCCUAAUUUUGGGUUUGAGAGAUAUUAGAUAAAUUUAUAAUUUGGGUGAUUUAAUAAAUAAUAAAUGAAAUUCGGAUUCAGAUUGUUUUAAUAUUAAAAAGGGUAUUUAUAGAUUGAAGAAAUUUAUGGGAAGAAUAAGGAUAUAUGGAUAAUUAAGAUGAUUAUUAUUAUUAUAAUUUUUAAAAGAGCAAAGAUUAACAAAUAGAGAAUAAUAUAAGUUGUUAUAAUAAUCGAGGAAUGUUAGAGUGUUAAUUAUUAAAGAAGUAAGUAUAUGAUUAAAAGGAAAAGAAUAUGAGAUAAGAGUUGGAAAUAAAAGAGAUGUUAAUAAAGUGUAAAACUAUUGAUUUGGAAUAAAAUACUAAGUUAUUUAUUUUGUAUAUUAGAAGCAAUUUACUCGGAAAUCAAGCUGAGUAUCAAACCCGGAAUCAGGAAUUGUAUUUCAGAGGAGAUCAGGCAAGUUCACUUAAUUCCUUCUCUUGUGGUGCCAAAUGUGUGUUGUUGAUUUAUCAAAUGUGAUUAUGCCUGAUAAUUGAUUCUGUGAUUAAAACCCAAUACUUUAUUAUAUUUGAAUAUUUCGAAAAGAUCGGGAUUGACGGAAACUUGAAAAUUUGACAUUUAUUUAGAUUAUUAUUAAACAACCUUUCUUCGUUACCCGAGUCCAACCAUUGUUCGGGUUGACUCAUUAAUUUGGGAGACCAAAAUUACCAUUAACUUUCAAUUCUUUAACCUAUCAUACUUUUUGAAAUGAUUAUUCAACUCUGAAAUCUUUGUUUCAUUACAAAAUUCAUAUUUGAUUCCAACCUUGCUCGCAUUUGAGAAGUCUACUUCUUCAUAUUCUCGAGUUAUUAUUACGAGAAUAACUUAAUCAAUUUUCUUUAAUCUAUGAUUACUCGCCAACCUCUUGAAUUCAAUUAUCAAGAUCUCUACCGUUGAUCUGCUCUUUCUAGAUAUAUGAUUCAGAUGUAUUUUCAUUGGAUAACAGAUUAUUCUUUCGAUACACCUUAAAGCGGAUAAAUUGCCUGAUUAUUGAUUUACUCUUCUAUUUACUUGUUCUUGUUCAAGCUCUCAGAUUUCUAAUCUUUUAUUCGAACAACGAUUAAUCGAUUUAUACGAGAAUCGAUAACCAAGUUUGGUUCCAUCUUAUUGUUCUUGGGAUGUUGUGAUCGGAUUACUUGUUUCUUCGUAAUCCGAGAGGUAUUUAAUUCUGAAUUGUAAGAAUGCAUUUGUUCGCAUUCUUGUAAGAAAGGGGAAGAUUUAUUCAAUAUGAAGUGAGCCAAUUUGUACUCAGGGGAUGAAUUUCAUAAACUGGUCAACACGAAUGAUUUGCAUUCGUGGAAGAGUGGAAAUAUCUGUUGGCCCUAUGUGUGGGACAACUUUAAGGGUUGAAAGUGAUAACCCUUAUGCUAGCAAAUAAAUGGGGGAAACUGUGUGGCGCCAUUCGAAAGUCGCGAUCAGACUGCGAAGGUGACACGGGGUGGUAUCUACUUAGUGGCGGUGAUCGAGCCAUAUGGUGGAACCAUCAAGGAUGGAGACCAGUACUAUUAUUAUUAUUCUUUGAUUUCUUGAGCUCAAUAUGUGAUUAUCUGCAGCUCUCAUUUUGAAUCUGCUGAAUUGUUAUAUCUGCUUAAAUUCCCCUAUAUAAUCUAUGAUGUUUGCACUUGAACUGUGAACUUGCUGAGCAUUCAAAUGCUCAUACUUGCAACUCUUUAUUUUCUUUAAACAGUAUAGACAGAAAAUGGCACAAAUGAGAAGGAUAAUUCGGAAGCAUAUAACAGCAAAGUCAAAGGCAAAACGUGAGGCUGUGGCAAACGAAGGGUACGAAGACUUGUUCCCGUAACGAGGAUGUUUGUGAUAAUAGUAAUACUAGUUUGUACUCUUGAACUUAUCAUUGUAAUGAUAUGAUGGACUGUGUGGAAGUGUAAGAUCGACCCUGGACUUGUGGGGCGAGUUAUGUAACAUAAGACAGGUAUGCUAAAAUAGUGUGACGGCCUAGAUCCGGGAUAUAC
rnacentral:lncRNA from 1 species